GCCAGGUGUGGUGGCACAUACCUGUAAUCCCAGCUACUUGGGAGGCUGAGGCAGGAGAAUCUCUUGAAUAUGGGAAGCGGAGGUUGCAGUGUGAGCCGAGAUCCGGCCACUGCACUCUGGCCUGUGUGACAGAGUGAGACUCUGUCUCAA
rnacentral:SRP_RNA from 1 species